UGCAAGGUGAAAACUGCGCCGGAAUACGGAUACGGGGACUGAGCCUACAUUUUGCCCCAUCCAAUUGCGUUUGCUCUUUUGGCGAGGCAUAGAUUUGCUGUACGUGUGGCACGAGGCGACCGGCCUGCUGGCGGGAUACCAUCCUGAACACCCUGUGCCAGCAGGCCAGACGUACUCGACAUCCCGCCAGAGGAGCAAGACCGCAUCCGCAGCUCCAGCACCGGCCUCACACCGUCAGCUCUGGCUGCAACUUGCUGUACGUGUGGCACGAGGUGACCGGCCUGCUGGCAGACUACCAUCCUGAACACCCUGUGCCAGCAGGCCAGACUUGCUGUACGUGUGGCACGAGGUGACCGGCCUGCUGGCAGGCUACCUAUCCGUGAGCCAUCCUGAACACCCUGUGCCAGCAGGCCAG
rnacentral:lncRNA from 1 species